GAAAGAUGGUUCUGCUAUCACUCUUGGAUGGACCUGCGGUGCAUUAGCUAGUUGGUAAGGUAACGGCUUACCAAGGCAAUGAUGCAUAGCCGAGUUGAGAGACUGAUCGGCCACAUUGGGACUGAGACACGGCCCAAACUCCUACGGGAGGCAGCAGUAGGGAAUCUUCCACAAUGGACGAAAGUCUGAUGGAGCAACGCCGCGUGAAUGAAGAAGGGUUUCGGCUCGUAAAGCUCUGUUGGUAGUGAAGAAAGAUAGAGGUAGUAACUGGCCUUUAUUUGACGGUAAUUACUUAGAAAGUCACGGCUAACUACGUGCCAGCAGCCGCGGUAAUACGUAGGUGGCAAGCGUUGUCCGGAUUUAUUGGGCGUAAAGCGAGUGCAGGCGGUUCAAUAAGUCUGAUGUGAAAGCCUUCGGCUCAACCGGAGAAUUGCAUCAGAAACUGUUGAACUUGAGUGCAGAAGAGGAGAGUGGAACUCCAUGUGUAGCGGUGGAAUGCGUAGAUAUAUGGAAGAACACCAGUGGCGAAGGCGGCUCUCUGGUCUGCAACUGACGCUGAGGCUCGAAAGCAUGGGUAGCGAACAGGAUUAGAUACCCUGGUAGUCCAUGCCGUAAACGAUGAGUGCUAAGUGUUGGGAGGUUUCCGCCUCUCA
rnacentral:rRNA from 1 species